GUUGACAUAAAUGAUGGGAAAAUCGGGCUCGAGAGCAUCGGAAACGACGAUAGACGUUGGCGUAGUUGGAUAGAAGAAGAGUCCUGCAUCCAAUGGAAGCUUGCUUUGCCCUUCUUCUUCCAAUUCCUCUUCUCCAUCAUCAUCAUCAUAAUCUUCUUCUUUUUCUUCUGCUUUGGUGCAUUUUAGCCUUUUGCCAGAGCUUUGAAGCUCCUCCUCAUCCUCUUCUUGUUCAUGGUUCGACAUG
rnacentral:misc_RNA from 1 species